UAGGCAGGAGCCAGUGGGUUGUGGCAUCUAGCUGUUAACUAGAAUUGUAUGGGAUCGAAGCCCAUCUGCCUAG
rnacentral:tRNA from 1 species